GGUAAAUUAUCACGUUGUGAUUGGUUUAAAGCCGUCAUGUGGUGACCCCCUAUGAGACCGUAGGGGGUUUGUAAAUUUCAUAGGGGUUCAUGACGCGUUAAUGGUGACAUCAUCUAUUAAUGUUGUUGUGUUUCAUUGUUUAUUUUUCAACAAAACGCAGCAGAAAAAGUCUAGCGUACGAUAAAUUCGUUAUACGGUUAACUACUGACCC
rnacentral:lncRNA from 1 species